GGCAGCGGUACAAGACUGGCUGCAGUAUAUCAAGACAACAUCAGAAAAUGCAAGGCUGAACCGAUGGCAGAAGUGGAUCAAUCAGAAAACCAUGGCGGAUUUUACUGUCAAGGUCCAUGGUGCUAAAUAAAUCAACACAGACCUACAUAAAAACAACACAGAGCUAAGGACUUUGUAGGCUAAGUAAGUUGUCCUAGCCACAUAAAGUG